rnacentral:SRP_RNA from 1 species
GCCAGGUGUGGUGACGUGCACCUGUAAUCCCAGCUACUCCGGAGGCUGAGGUAGGAGAAUCACUUGAGCCCAGGAGGUGGAGGUUGCAGUGAGCCAAGAUCACCCCACUGCAUUCCAUCCUGGGCGACAGAGUGAGACUCCAUCUCAA